UACAUGGGGUGCAAGCGUUGCUCGGAAUUAUUGGGCGUAAAGCGCGCGUAGGCGGUUACUUAAGUCGGAUGUGAAAGCCCUCGGCUUAACUGAGGAAGUGCACCCGAAACUGAGUAGCUAGAGUACGAAAGAGGGUCGCGGAAUUCCCGGUGUAGAGGUGAAAUUCGUAGAUAUCGGGAGGAACACCGGUGGCGAAGGCGGCGACCUGGGUCGAGACUGACGCUGAGGCGCGAAAGCGUGGGGAGCAAACAGG
rnacentral:rRNA from 1 species